GGAUUAUGGCUCAGUGACACAGCACCCACCUGGCAAGUGGGAGGUCCUGAGUUCAAUUUUCAGUACCA
rnacentral:tRNA from 1 species